GAUGAACGCUGGCGGCGUGCUUAACACAUGCAAGUCGAACGCUGAAGCCCCAGCUUGCUGGGGUGGAUGAGUGGCGAACGGGUGAGUAACACGUGAGUAACCUUCCCUUGACUCUGGGAUAAGCCCGGGAAACUGGGUCUAAUACCGGAUACGACUUCCUGCCGCAUGGUAUGGGGGUGGAAAGAUUUAUCGGUCUUGGAUGGACUCGCGGCCUAUCAGCUUGUUGGUGAGGUAAUGGCUCACCAAGGCGACGACGGGUAGCCGGCCUGAGAGGGUGACCGGCCACACUGGGACUGAGACACGGCCCAG
rnacentral:rRNA from 1 species